ACAGGAUGCAAGGAUUUCAGACAGGUAUCUGGAGCUGCAGGUAAAAGUUAGUUCCUAGUUUCUCUCUCUCUAAAUUUCUCUCUUGAGUCAAAGUCUGGUUCUAUUGCAGGAUCAGUGACCAAGAUUGGACAGGCUUCCAUGAAUCAAAACUUAAUGGUGGUUGCCACCAAGUUCUGUUCACUUUUUUUUUACCUAUAUCCAAGAGUUCUUUGCGAAAGCGAGCCUUGAAGAUUGCCGCCUCCAAGUCCAGUUUCGAACUCUUUUAUUUGAGUCUUUAUGAAUCAAGCCUUAAUGGUUUUAGCCACCAAGUCAUGUUCAGACUCAUCCUAAUUAAACUAUAGAUCUUAUUUAUUUUUUUAUUAUUUUAUUUUAUUAUUAUUAUUUUUUUUUAAUACCCACUAACUAAUCUAGGGUCGAAAUCUAGAGAGAGAAAAUGUGAUAAAUAAUCUAAACCAGGCGUUACCUUCCAGACCUGUCUAAAGAAUCCGAUCCCAUGUAUACCAAGCCCCAAGCCUAGCGGUUAUGUCAGGUUUAGUGUUGGAAAUCAGCUUUGGUUACUUCAUACGGUUCAAGGCAAGUGCGUAGUUGAUAGGUUGAUCCGCUUUAGCAUCUUUAGUGCUAUCUGCAAUCAGUAAAUCUAAAAUGGUGCUAAAGAUUAGUUAGAUAUUCAUGUUUAAAUCAAUAUAAGAUUAUAGUCCCUAUUUUCAAUAGCUAAGCAUAAUUUAUUUGAAAUUCCUUUUUACGUAAGAAUAAAAUAAAUUAUAUCAGUAAAUCUCCCCCCAGACUUAAAUUACACUGUCCCAGUGUAACUCAGCCGGAGUUAUGAUAAAAAUUUUAUGAUGUUCGAAAUGUAACAAGUAGGGA
rnacentral:lncRNA from 1 species